UACGUAGGGACCAAGCGUUGUUCGGAUUUACUGGGCGUAAAGGGCGCGUAGGCGGCUUGACAAGUCACUUGUGAAAUCUCCGGGCUUAACUCGGAACGGCCAAGUGAAACUGUCAUGCUAGAGUGCAGAAGGGGCAAUCGGAAUUCUUGGUGUAGCGGUGAAAUGCGUAGAUAUCGAGAGGAACACCUGCGGCGAAGGCGGGUUGCUGGGCUGACACUGACGCUGAUGUGCGAAAGCUAGGGGAGCGAACGGG
rnacentral:rRNA from 1 species